rnacentral:lncRNA from 1 species
AGAAUAUGUCAGCUUUCCCUAAAAGUGUUAUAUCUUAUUAAAUAUCCUCAUUCAGUAUUAGUAGAUGAUAUUCAUAUGUUUUGUGUCAAAUAUGUCUGGGAAAUUCUCAAUAUAAAAUAUUGAUUAGAUGCUUUUACUACAGGACUUAUCAGAGCCUUGACAUGUUACUUGAAUGCAGUGAAUUUCCAAAAACAAAAAAAUAGAAGAGAUGGUAACAUGCAGUGCUUCAUCAGCUGAGAAAAUCAGCCCUGGUUCCCUUCAUGCUAUAAUGCUGACCCUCAUCAGAUGAACCAAGAGAGUCUUUAUUCCUGGAAUUGAUUUCUGUACAAUGCAUUGGGGAGAUAUUAGACUUCUUCAAGACAUUGAACAUGCUGAAAAUGCCAAUUAAGUUCACUCUGGCAACUUCAAAAGGAGCCGUGGGUCAGCAGGCACAGUCAAAUCAGCCUUCAUAAGAAAGACAAGGAGAUAAAAACCAGUCAUUCAUGCCACGGGAGUACUGAGGAAGCUGCAUCAGAGGCCGUGCGGAGCCAGCCUCAUGGGACGGCAUCGCUGGUCCCUGCACCACGACCAGCCUCUCCCCGAGAAUUGGUCCCCAGGGAUCCGCCCUCGAUUUUGGAAGUAUUUCUGGUGCCUCAACUCAAAUCUGUCCCUCCAGUCUUCCUGAAGGUAAGCUUGUAGUUCUCUGUGUUCAUCUUUUCCUCACCAAAAUAUUUGUGGAUCGUUUUU